rnacentral:rRNA from 1 species
AACGAACGCUGGCGGCAGGCCUAACACAUGCAAGUCGAGCGGACCGUCCGGGGUCAGCGGCGGAUGGGUGUGUAACGCGAGGGAAUAUGCCCUUCUCUACGGAAUAGCCCUGGGAAACGGGGGGUAAUACCGUAUACGCCCUAAGGGGGGAAGAUUUAUCGGGGAAGGAUUAGCCCGCGUUGGAUUAGGUAGUUGGUGGGGUAAUCGACUACCAAGCCGACGAUCCGUAGCUGGGUUGAGAGGAUGAUCAGCCACACUGGGACUGAGACACGGCCCAGACUCCUACGGGAGGCAGCAGUGGGGAAUCUUAGAACAUGGGGGCAACCCUGAUCGAGCCAUGCCGCGUGAGUGAUGAAGGCCUUAGGGUUGUAAAGCUCUUUCAGCUGGGAAGAUAAUGACGGUACCAGCAGAAGAAGCCCCGGCUAACUCCGUG